rnacentral:lncRNA from 1 species
GUAAGGGUAUACUCCAGGGCAGUUUGCUCCUGUCACGGAGAACACUCUCUAAUUUGCUGAUAAUUUGCAGUGGGAAUAUCCCAUGGACACACAGAAGGCCUGGUAACUUGUCAUUUGAACACAGCAGGCGCUUCUUUGGCCCACAAGAAUGUCAACAAUUAUGCCAUUCUUUGUAGAAAGCUCCUGUUGCUAGUGUGAUUUGCUGCUCUUUGGUGGAAGCAGCAUUAAAUGUUUAUUAAUUGCUGGAGCAAGCUGUUGGCUUUACAAAUGAACAAGAAUAGAUCAGGAGAAGAAAAACUUUGGAUACCAUCAAAGUUGAUCAAGAUUUGAGUUGAAAAGGAAAAACUUCUCGACAAGGAGAAAUAACAGACCCACACAGCCAAUGAAGACCCGCCUGACACGAAUCCCUGGACACCCUGGAAAGAAAAUGGGCCACACCUUCUCAAAUGCACUGGAUCCAACUUGCUCCAUUUCAACUGACACUCUGGACAGAGUUUCACUUACUGACUUCAAUCAAGUUGAGGAUUUCAAGGGAGAUCUUUAAUCAAGAGAAUCCCA